UACGUAGGGUGCGAGCGUUGUCCGGAAUUACUGGGCGUAAAGAGCUCGUAGGCGGUUUGUCGCGUCGUCCGUGAAAACUUGGGGCUCAACCCCAAGCUUGCGGGCGAUACGGGCAGACUUGAGUACUGCAGGGGGAGACUGGAAUUCCUGGUGUAGCGGUGAAAUGCGCAGAUAUCAGGAGGAACACCGGUGGCGAAGGCGGGUCUCUGGGCAGUAACUGACGCUGGGGAGCGAAAGCGUGGGUAGCAAACAGG
rnacentral:rRNA from 1 species